ACGAGUAAUAGUGGAUCCCUUGGCUUGAUUAUCGACGAAGAGCGUGAGACAAAGCGAUAUUAGUGACUUUGUAAACUUGUUUAAGUCAAUUCUCGAAUAUACAUAGCAAUUUAUUGCAUUCAUGUUACAGAGUUAGUUAGUAUAUUGACAACGUUGUUUGUUGAUCGAGUAAAUCUCUGAAACACAACCUGUGAUAUGAAGGAUGACGCGCCGAACUUAAGCAUAUCAAUAAGCGCAGGAAAAGAAAACAAAAGUGAUUCUUCUAGUAGCGGCGAGCGAAAAGAGAAUAGCCAAUCCUGAAUUCUAGUUGUAGGAUAGUCAUAGAUAAUAGGUAAAGUAGUUGGAAAGCUACAGGAUAAACAGUGAAACUCUGGUUGCCUAAAAUCAUCGACUUAAAUAGUAGCACUGUUUGAGAGUAUAGUGUGAAUAAAGGUGGUAUACUUCACCUAAGGCUAAAUAUAGAAUCAAGUCCGAUAGAGAAUCGAGUAAAGUGAUUGAAAGGUGAAAAGAUGUUCAAAAAGAGCACUUAAAAGACGUGAAACUAUUACUUGAAGGGUAAGUUGUGAUAGAACAUAAGUCAAACAGUUAAUAACUGGUUACAACUUUCCGACCGUCUCGAAACACGGAUCAAGGAGUUACGCUUAACUGCGAACCAAUAUGUGAAAAACAUAAAGGUGCAGCGAAAGCGGAAGUAUUCAAACACGUUAACACUCAGUUUACAGAGUAGUUAGGCGUAGACCCGAAAGGUAGUGAUCUUAACAUGACUAGAAUGAAGUCAGUCGAAAGGCUGAUGGAGGUUCGUAGAAGUACUGACGUGCAAAUCGUUUUUCAAAGUUGUGUUAAGGGGCGAAAGACUCAUCGAACCACCAAGUAGCUGGUUACGUUCGAAAUUUCUCUCAGGAUAGCACAUCGCUAAUAAGCUUCGACAGGUAGAGAUAAUGAUUGACAGAAAGUGGCCUUCGGGUAUGCCCUGGCUCUCAAACUUCGAAUAGUCGAGAUCUCAUGAUUUACCUCAAGGAAAUGCAGAGAUAGAGUUAAGCGAUGUAGUGGCACUAACCAGGUAAGCUAGUUAGUGAAGGACGAAUCAACGUUUAGAUAUGUUAAGGUGUGUAAAUUGGGUGCAUGAGAAAAAACGACGUGAACUAAUAUUGACAGCAGGAAGGUGGCCAUAAAAGUCGGAAUCCUCUAAAGAGUGUGUUACAACUCACCUGCCGAAUUAGUUUGCUCGGAAAAUGGAUCACGCUACAACCUAAUACCAACACAUAUCAAUUGACAACAAUUAGUAGAACGUGGUGGAGAGCGCAUAGAAGUUCUAGUGUGAGCUAGAAUGGAGCACUUUCUAAUCCAGAUCUUGAUUGAAGUAGCAAAUAUUCUGUAUAGUGCAGAACACUGAAGUAGAGAAGGCUUCCUCAGCCAUUAUAACAAACUGAGGGUAACUCGAUCCUAACUACGAGGCUAUGGCCAAAUAAAUAAGGAAAGGGAAUCAGGUUUACAUUCCUGAAGAAGCAUACAAAUGGUAACAGUCGUGUAAUCUAUAGGCUUUCGGUCGAUGCAAGUGGACGUCGCACCAUUUUAAUGCUAGUGUACGUAUAGAAGAAUUUAUUUCUAGAAAUAGGUACUAGAGCAAGAAUACUACAAAGUAGUGUGUUUGUCUGAAAGCUGCGUCAAAAUAGAUUAUGCAAUAAAUGCUUAUCGUACCGAUAACCGCAUCAGGUCUCUAAGGCAAGAAACCUUUAGUGAGAAGAGAAAACGACCAAGGGAAGUCGGCAAAUUAGCUCUGUAACCUUGGGAUAAAGAGUGGCUCUGGAUGUUCAAUAACGUAUAUAGGCAAAUAGCUUAUUUAAGAGUACGAAGUGUAGCAAUACAUUAGUAAUCUUUUGUAGGGUGUUGUUUAUGAAAUUAUUAAUAGAACAAUUCAGAACUGCAACUGACUAGAAGAACCCGACUGUAUAAUUAAAACAUAGCAUCAUGAUAGCGAUAACUCGUAUUGACAUGAUGUGAAUCCUGCCCAGUGCUAUGACUGUCAACGUAACGAGAGUUAUUUAAGCCCUGGUAAACGGCGGGAGUAACUAUGACUCUCUUAAGGUAGCCAAAUGCCUCGUCGAGUAAUUUUCGACGUGCAUGAAUGGAUUAAUGAGGUUCUUACUGUCCCUGGUCGUAUCUUCGCGAAACAACAGAUUGGUUAACUGGCCAAUAUAAAUCCUCUACGGGGCAAGAAGACCCUGUUGAGCUUGACUUCAGCUUGGAAUUGUAGAACGAUGUUAGUGGUGUAGCGUACAAAGGAGAGUAAUCGACAAUGAAACACUUUGGCAUUAUUCAUUGUUCUGCUAACCUACUGAUUGUGAGUAAUAAGGAAUAUUCAUAGGUAGGGACAUUUCUAGGUAGGGAGUUUGACUGGGAUAGUAUGCCUGCUAAAGUGCAACGCAGGCGUCCUAAAACAAGCAUCAUAGUGGACGGAAACCACUAGUUGAAAAUAAGAUUAAAAGCUUGUCUGAUUAUCUGCAUCAGUGGUGUAGGUAACCGUGAAAGCGUGGUCUAACGAUCCUUUACGAUUAUUUGGUAUUAAUCUGGAGGUGACAGAAAAGUUACCACAGGGAUAACUGGCUUGUGGCCGCCAAGAGUUCAUAUCGACGUGGCUUUUUGAUUCUUCGAUGUCGGCUCUUCCUAUCCUUCCGUCGCAAAAGGCAGAAAGCGUUGGAUUGUUCACCCAAACAAGGGAACGUGAGCUGGGUUUAGACCGUCGUGAGACAGGUUAGUUUUAUCCUAUAGAGGAAAGUGCGCUACUAGUAAUUCUGAUUAGUACGAGAGGAACAUUAAAAUCGAAGCACUGGUUUAUAGCCUUGACUGAAAAGUCAGCUGGCUGAAGCUACCCUUCGGCAUGUUAUGACUGACGGCCUCUAAGUGAGAAUCUCACCUAUAGGCGUACAUUGAGAUAUGACAGAGUGUAAUUGACUCUAAUCUCAGAUAGAAUCGCAGAUCACGAUUUUCAGAUGCACUGUAAGUAAUAAGUAAAUUCAAGUUAUUGAGGUGGCAUCUUACUGUAGUUUUUCUAGCAUAU
rnacentral:rRNA from 1 species